rnacentral:tRNA from 1 species
GCUUGGCUGGCUCAGUUGGUAGAGCAUGUGACUCUUGAUCUUGGGGUAAUGAGUUUGAGCCCCAUGUUAGGUG